rnacentral:rRNA from 1 species
UAGGGAAUAUUAGUAAUGGGCGAAAGCCUGAACUAGCAACGCCGCGUGUGCGAAGAAGGCCUUCGGGUUGUAAAGCACUUUUUGAGAGGAUGAGGAAGGACGGUACUCUCAGAAUAAGUCUCGGCUAACUACGUGCCAGCAGCCGCGGUAACACGUAGGAGGCGAACGUUAUCCGGAUUUACUGGGCGUAAAGCGCGUGUAGGUGGUUUGGUAAGUAGGGCGUGAAAGCUCCUGGCUCAACUGGGAGAGGCCGUUCUAAACUGCCGAACUAGAGGAUGGUAGAGGGAGGUGGAAUUCCGGGUGUAGCGGUGGAAUGCGAAGAUAUGCGGAGGAACACCAGUGGCGAAAGCGGCCUCCUGGACCAUUCCUUACACUCAGACGCGAAAGCUAGGGUAGCAAACGG